UUUUUUUUUUUUGGUGGAGGGAUUUGGGAGUUUUCUCCCCUCUGGCCUAUGCCCACCCAGUCUUGCCAUAUGGGCUAUAACCGUUUUGACGGAACAUGUGAUUACAAAUGCCCCAUUGCGAGACUGGCUGAAUUCAGGCAGUAUGAUCAAGAAGGUGUUAAGAAACAAGCCAAUUAGUUUGCAUUUAUAGUUACAGUGCAAAAUACAAGACAGGUGCUUCUACCACUAACUGAUUUGAAAAGCCUUCUCUCCACUUAGUCAUCUGUAAAGGCAACAGAGGAAUUUGACCACAAGCAUUCUCAUAAAAAAGUUUAAAAAACAGUCCUCUGGCUGAGUUAAUAAAGGACUGGAACAGUUCAGAAUUUCCAGCCAGAGUGUGACAGGUAAUUGGUUGAGAUCGGCAAAAUACCGAGCGACUAUUUAAAAAGAGGUCAUGUUUUCAGAUCAUUAAAGCACAGUGUUUUAUUUGCCAGUGAUUUAUUUUAUUUGUAACAUACCCUGCUCAUAAUGAAACUAAACACCCAUGCCCUGAGCUCCAUGAAAUACUUUAUUGCUUCUAAAACCUGUGAGCAUACGUGUGUCUGUGUGUGUUUGGAAUGUGUUAAAAAAAAAAAGUUAAAAUUAUUCCAAGAUGGUGUAUAAUUAUUUAUUUCUAGGUUUAAAAAGUUGUUUGAUUUUUUUUUCCUUAACUCUGGAAUUUGAACUUUGCCUAUCAGAGCUUAUCAACAGAAAGCUAACGCUAACUCAAAAGUCUACAGGAAACAGUAGUGUGUUUAACCUUAACCUGGGUUUGAAGUCCUCGUUACCUUGACCUGCAAAUAACUGAAAGUGAAUGGAUUUGGUAGACAACUACUCUUGUCAAGUCCAGGGCUGCCCCAGCUUCUGAAUGGUUAGUGAGCACAGCCUGAAAGGCUUGCCCAUCAAUGGCUCCGGGUGGUAUACCUCCGGGGAUUCACUAUGCCAAAUGAGUCUUGGAACAUCUCUCACCUGGUAGCGAGAUUUUCCUUAAUCGGAGACUUUGUCACUGAACAUUUUUGUUUCCACAACAAAAAUGACCCAAUGCACAUCAAAGAUCCAAGAAGCACUAAUGUUGUGGCUACAUAAAGGGGUCCUACAGAUGUCUCUCAUAAGCAACAGCAACAGUGGAGGUGACUCUAAAGUGAGUCACCUUCUUCAUGAAGAGAUUAGACUGAAAAUCAAUCUAAACUACAAAGCUGCUUUCUUAUCAUGUUAAUUCCUAUCCAUUUAAUUUUGUUGGACC
rnacentral:lncRNA from 1 species